AGCCACCAAUACGCUCUAUAUGCAGACGAGCCGAAGAUGCAUAGACUUGUUACUGCGUUCGACAAAUCAAGAAAUAUUUUAAUCAGAUGCAGCAAAAGACCAGGAGGAACAGGGUCUAUAGUGUCAGGCAGCAAGGAGAGCGAAUGGUACAGAGAAGAAAGCCAGCAAGAGACAUUGAAGAGGAGAGAGUAUACCAGAGUGUAACAGGAGAGAGAGCAGAGGGCAAACCUAUGGAGAAAAAGGAAGAGGAAUAGAGGGGAGGGAAAUAAAGAAUAUAUGGCGAGUAGGCAAUAGGUAGAGAAGAGAUUAGUUGGAGAGGAGGAAAUAAGAAGGUGAGAGGAAGAAAGGAAAUAAGAGAUGGAGUGAAAGGAGGAGGACAUAUCUGCAUGUGUGUCUCUGUCAACUGCCAACAUGAAUUAGCUGAACUACAGGCAAAAGCCUAGAAGAAUUAAGUGCUCCACUCAACAACAUUCACAGCAAGAAGGUUUUCCAGAGAAAACACUGAUUUGCACAUCAUUGCAUUCUGUUUUUCUGAGGUCACCUCAGACAACUCAGCUAGCUUAAAGGUAUUGGCUAGAUGAGAGGAAUAACCCUACUCCUGACCUGCUUAUUUAAUUAUGUCACGCCAUGCAUACUGUAAAAGUUCAAGUUGCAGGACACAGGAGACGGUACAGGUAACAUUCAGGAACUUAAACGUCACACAAACCAAUGACUGACGGAUGUUACACAUACUGUACAUAGGAAUUGUAAUUAGAAUUGUUAUACCAUGUACUAAGGAAGCCAACAAGAACAUGUAUACUUUAUUAUCCCUAUUCUGGUAAAUAUGAUAAAUGUUGCAGUAUUAACAGAACAGAAGGAAUGAUUUCAAUACAUAUUUUCUCCAAGUGAUAAUUGACCUGAAUUGCAAUGUGAAGGUCAAAGAGAAUCAAUGUGUAUAUGAAAUAUUAAACAGAAUUCUCCAUUUGUUUAUUUAAAAAUGAUCAAAUGACUAUUGUGCGAACAUUUAUUAUUGGGGAGUGUUGACCAAAACUAAAUGAAAUCCCUUUAAACAGAGAAGGUAAUAUUCCCACACUGUGGUGGGUUUAUGUGCUGAACAAUAAUGGUAAAAAGAUCAACA